GUGGGGAAUAUUGGACAAUGGGCGAAAGCCUGAUCCAGCCAUGCCGCGUGUGUGAAGAAGGUCUUCGGAUUGUAAAGCACUUUAAGUUGGGAGGAAGGGCAGUAAGUUAAUACCUUGCUGUUUUGACGUUACCGACAGAAUAAGCACCGGCUAACUUCGUGCCAGCAGCCGCGGUAAUACGAAGGGUGCAAGCGUUAAUCGGAAUUACUGGGCGUAAAGCGCGCGUAGGUGGUUUUGUAAGUUGGAGGUGAAAUCCCCGGGCUCAACCUGGGAACUGCAUCCAAAACUGCAUGACUAGAGUACGGGAGAGGGUAGUGGAAUUUCCUGUGUAGCGGUGAAAUGCGUAGAUAUAGGAAGGAACACCAGUGGCGAAGGCGACUACCUGGACUGAUACUGACACUGAGGUGCGAAAGCGUGGGGAGCAAACAGGAUUAGAAACCCGAGUAGUCC
rnacentral:rRNA from 1 species